ACUGGGCGUGGUGGUGCGUGCCGGUAGUCCCAGCUACUCAGGAGUCUGAGGUGGGAGGAUCACUUGAGCCCAGGAGUUCUGGGCUGAAGUGAGCUAUGCCAAUUGGGUGUCCGCACUAAGUUUGGCAUCAAUAUGGUGACCUCUAUGGAGAGGGAAACACAAGGUUGCCUAAGGAGGGGUGAACUGGCUUAGGUCAGAAACGAGCAAGUCAAAACUCCUCUGCUGGUCAGUAGGGGGAUAGCACCUGUGAAUAGCCCCUGCACUCCAGCCUGGGCGACAUGGCGAGACCCAGUCUCUA
rnacentral:SRP_RNA from 13 species